CUUACGUAUAAGCUCCCGAAGGGAGCUAGAGAGGGAACUCUUUCCGCGCGUUUUUAUUUCCCAUAGGUUUUGUACAUAGCCAACAUGGCUGCCGGCGGACAAUUUGAAGGAUGAUUUUGGAGGGUCAAUGUUUUAUUCAUGAGAAUGACGUCAAAAUACGCAUAAUGCACUUGUAUGAUUGGAUUAAACGCUAAUGUUUUAUUCAUGUACUCAUGCAUUAAACAUUUUUUUCCGUCCCACAAUUCCCUACGAUAUCUGUGCGAAGUGUCGUUCUUUUGGACUCUGCGAAUUUGAAGUUUCUGAAACGAAAUAGCUAGACUAAUUAUCUGUUUAUAGAAUUGAUGUUCGAAAUCAUGGUUUCUGAGUGAACUUCAUUGGAGCGGAAAAUCUUGGAGGGAACAUCAAUACUAUUCUAAUGACAUUCCAUAGGAAUAAAAAUCCAAUGGGACCAAGUUCUUAGCAGCUCACACCUAGUCAGAAGUACAAAAUUGAGAACCAUGCCGAUCAGCAAGUGUUAGUUACAAUCUAAUGAGGAACAGGAUAUCUGCAUGGAAAAAUUGCAAGGUUUCCCACUUCCUAAGCUGUUUAAGUACUGGUAUCACAACAUAAGUGCCAAGAAGAGAUAUGAAACGGUCUCAAAAUUUUUGCUGGUGCCCCCCUCGAUGCCGUGACCCACGGUACGCCACUGCAAGUCUUCAUAAAUUAUGUAGGGUUAUUAAGUUGCAUUUAUUGUUAUCUUCAUUUUAAAAAAAUGUGAAAUGGGUUACCACUGCAAUAAUAUAUAAAUAGACUAUAUUUCAAAAAAAGAUUGAAUUCUAACCACAGUGACAGUAGACAAAUCAAAUUUUGUUAAUGAUUCGCUAAUGUAUUGAUUGGGGAAGGCACUCUUUAGGAUUCUGGCAUUGUGUCCCACCCCCCCCCCCCCCCCUUAUGAGGAGUGCUCUCACAUCAGUAGACUAUUUCUUGUCAGCAAAUUUGAAAGGAAUUUACCAAUUUUUUUGAGUGGCAAACUUUUGUGGAAGAAAAUAAACGAAUAUCAAAGGUUUUUAUGCUCUUUUAUGGAAUAUUAACUAUAGGCUCAUCGAGAUCCUUUGAAUGAAAUUUUAACAAACAUUGUGCAAUGUAGAAAAAUGUACUUAAUCCUAUUUUUGUACAUUUAUAUACCCACCCCCACUAGCGUACCUACGGGGGGGGCAGGGGGGCACUCUGCCCCCCCCUGACGAGUCACAACCCAUGCAAAAACGUAUAUUUGCCCCCCCUGACGGGCUUGAAAAACCUUUUUUGCCCCC